rnacentral:rRNA from 1 species
UACAGAGGGUGCGAGCGUUAAUCGGAAUUACGGGGCGUAAAGCGCACGUAGGUGGCUUGGCAAGUCGGGUGUGAAAUCCCCGGGCUCAACCUGGGAACUGCAUUCGAGACUGCCUUGCUAGAGUAUGGGAGAGGGAAGUGGAAUUUCCGGUGUAGCGGUGAAAUGCGUAGAUAUCGGAAGGAACAUCAGUGGCGAAGGCGACUUCCUGGACCAAUACUGACACUCAGGUGCGAAAGCGUGGGGAGCAAACAGG